AUUCAUUUAACCCAUUUAUAUUAUUUUUUUGACUUAAACGACAACGUAUUUUUGAUUUCUUUUCUUCUCCUUUGAUCAGAUCGCGUAAGGGCCAAGGGGAGAACAAGUCCUCCGAUCUCCUCCGAUCUCCUCCGAUUCAACCCAUCAACUCAGACGAAGGCUCUUUCUCUCUCUCUUCUCUCUCUCUUCUCCGAGACCCAUCGUCUCCUUCGAAGUUUGAAUCGAAGGCUCUUCCUCUCUCUCUUCUCCGAGACUCCGAUCGUCUCCUCCGAGCUCUCUCUCAGCCAUUAAGCUUCAUCAGUCUUCGUCCUCGACCAAACCCAUCAGCCAUUAAGGGAUUGAUUGUGUUGGAACUGUUCCUUCUUCUCUAGUUACCUUUGCUUCUCUCGUGAAGUAAACUCAAGCCUAGAAAAAGUAUGUUAUUCCCUUGUUUUCACAUGACUAUUUUGGAUUAUUCUGAAUUUGCUUAGCUAGUAGUGCCAAUUGCCAAAGAAAGUGGUGAAUAGUUAUGUUUUUUAUCUGCUUUUGUCUUGUUUUUCGAGAUGAUCAGUCUCAAGAGGUUUCUAUCAUCCUUUGUUUCUUUGUUUGUACUUUGUACUAGAGAUCAUCUCAAAAACUGUGUUCUUUGCUUCUUAUUGUUUGUUUAAAACCCAUCUCAAAAGUUUUUAUUAUUUGUUUGUACUUUGUA